GACGUAGGAUGCAAGCGUUGUCCGGAUUUAUUGGGCGUAAAGAGUUCGUAGGCGGUCUGUUAAGUCUGAUGUUAAAGAUCGGGGCCCAACCCCGGGAGUGCAUUGGAUACUGGCAGGCUGGAGUGCGGUAGAGGCGAGUGGAAUUCCCAGUGUAGCGGUGAAAUGCGUAGAUAUUGGGAAGAACACCAGUGGCGUAGGCGACUCGCUGGGCCGUAACUGACGCUGAGGAACGAAAGCCAGGGGAGCGAAUGGG
rnacentral:rRNA from 1 species